CAUAGACAGGAUCCCUAUGUCUAGAUAGUAUACAGGACCUGUGGAGGUUUCAAGGACCUGUGAGUAAGCCUGUCACAUGUUAUGUUAUGCAGUUACAUGAUUUGUUGUAACAUGUACUCACAGAGAGCACCAGCUUAACCUAUGACCCACAGCUUGACCAAUAGGCUUUAGUCCAGCCCCCAACUAUAUAAAGGGGUGGCCAUCUUUAAUUAGCUCUCUUUCCUCAGACUUUUCUGAGAGUAACAUCAAAGUCUUUGCUGAGGCAGCUACCAGAGGCAUUAGAGUCAUGUGAUCAGCAUCUGGAGGCUACAAAGCUACAAGUCUCUCCAGUAAGUCUGAAAGUCUAUGUCUGCUGUCACUACAAAUAGUCAAGUCCUGCACAUAGUCAAGUCUAAUUACAAGUCAACUUAUUACAAGUAUUGGUCCAGCAAGCUGCGAGGUCCUCUGGGUCCGGUCGCCUCUGUGGGAAAUUUGGCCUUAGCUGUGAAGAUAAUUACACCUGUCUUCUACUCCGUAAAGCAAACCAUAACUGGUUGUGGACUCUUUAUUCACUUCUAGCCCGUGGGAUAGCGGAGAAUCUGGGCGUGUGGUGUUCCGGCACCCGAAAACCACACUGGCGUCACGAACACAUAGGGGUUAAUACCAUAUGACCCCCAGGGGUAACAACAUCAGAUCCCACCACUCACUGAAACACCCGUGGUCCUGCCAUUUACCGCAGUGGCCCCUGAGGAAGGAGACAAAACAGCUGUAGGGGUCUCGGAGGUACAGGAGUGCAGUCCCACAUGGCCCAGAAGUUACUUAGCUUUGCUGAUAACACUGUAUAGAUACCGCAGAUGUGUUCUCCUUCCCUGAAAUGAUUAACCCAAGCUCACAUGAAACAGUCAAUGUUUAGUGGAGAAUUCACAUUUGGCUGUCCGGACAUGCUGGAAUUUGUAGUUUUGCAACAGCUAAAGAGGAGACAGGAGCAGAGGAGGCAGAGAGAAGCCCCACCCACAGUCUGCCUGGCCAGAAACUCCAGUCUAUACAGAGGGGGAUGGAGCCCUUACUUACUGUGCUCUUCACAAGAGUGAAUAGAAAAAUCUGAAGAGUUGUCCAAGAGCCAAGAACCACUUGUGGAGAGCUUCAAAAAUACCUGGAAUUAGCAGUGACCCCCGACCCACGACAACCCCAACACACGAUGGCCUCAGCCACCGCCAGACAGCCACCAAAGGUGCCCCGCGUGCCGCGGCGAACGCCACCCACCCGUCCCCGAUGCUCCGGACUGCCCCCCACCCCACAGGAUCCCCCGCACGGACGACACCCCCCACCGCGCUGCCACGCCAUCCAAUAGCAACGACUCGACAAUGGCGAUGAACAACGAUCCCGGGCAGUGCCGACGGCCCGGAGCGGCUGGGACACCGCGGGGACGCGACGACAAAGAUGGAGAGUGACGGUCCGGAGCGGUGGGGACACGCGAGUAUAUAUUUCUACACUAUCACUGCACGGGUCCCUCAACACACGACGGCCCCAACAAACGACGGCCCACCCAGAACGAACCACCAUCGCAUGUUGAGAGAUCACUGUACUCACGUGUCCCCACCGCCCCGGACCACCACCGCCGCCGCCAAUGCACACAAAGGGAAUAAAUGUGUGUAUAGCAAAACAUGUGUUACUGCAAUCCCUUUCUGUGAGAAAUACUUCAUUUUCUUGAAAAAAUUCAGGGGUGCCAACAUUUAUGGCCAUGACUGUAUUUACCUUCAUAAUUGAAAAGUUGAAAUGUGCCAAAUAUAGAUUACCACCACUGAUGUAAAUCAAUGCAUUCCAUUUCUGAACUCCAACUAAAGCCCUUAUACACUGUAGAGAAAUUUAUUUUGAACCCAAUAACAUCGGUGGUGACAAAUAAGGGAUCGCGCAUGCUUAAUUUCAACACUUGUUUAAAAUCUGAAGCAUAUUCAAUUUGGUGUCAUUUUUGUUGCCGAUUUCCUCAGUGGAAAAACAAAAGUGUUUAUCGGUUGGUUGGUACCUGGAACAUUCAAUUACUACAUUAAACUAAUACAGUAUACAAUACUAAUAUAUGAAGUAAAAAUUUUGCCUAAAUAAAUACAACCUUAGAGAGUUCAGGGGCAUUAUCCAUGGCUCCCCUCUGCGCACCACACAUAGCUCCUCCCUGUUUCCUCCCAAAAUGCUCACACAUUUUAAAUGUAAAGAUUUUUUAUUUUACUUUGUAUUAACUUAAUAAAGGCUUAAUAUUCAAAUAGCACUGAUAAUGGAUUUGGCCACAAGCACAGGUAAAGUUGGUACUUGAAAAUAUAUCAUUUCCAUAGGUCUUGAACGCUUUCUUGUACCAGUCCCGUCCUGGUGUUUCUCCAGUCAUAUUGAUUCUUGGUAAAGCCACAGUAUGUGUAGACAGUAAUAUUUGGCAUCAGCCGUGUAAUCUGCGAUGUAAUGUCUUGUCACAGUGAUGAAGCAGUGAAAUGUCUAUGGCUUGUCACAUCUACACGACAGCUGCCAGCCGGACCUCCCUUGUGCUUGGCCUUUUCUCUCAGCCGCCUUGUGUGUCUUCAAGGGAAAACAUGGUGUAAUUAUAGAAUGCAACUGGCAAUAGCCCACAUGUUCUGGACACAUUGUAAUCUACAGCUCCAAAAAUAUAUUCCAGCAAAGCAUGUUACUAGAUCCCAACUUUGAUAGUGAAUCUGAACUCUGCUUGGACAGUAUCAGAAUAUACCUAAUAAAGAUGCUUUAGAACCAUACACAUGUACAUGUAUUUAUUGGCAGAUCUCAGACAGGCCAGUUCAUGUGCUUUCUUUAGCUGGAGGACCUUGCGGGUGCUGCAGGAUUUCAGUCCUUUACAGCGUAUUGUAUUACCAAUUGUUUUCUUGGUGGCUUUGGUCGCAGCCUUUGACCACUGACAACAUCCUCCUGUGUAGUUCUGGGCUGAUGCCCAACCAUUCUGAUAAUCAUUGGAACUCCACGAGGUGAGAUCCUACAUGGAGUCCCUAACCGAGGGAGAUUGACAGGUAUUUUGUAAACUGUUGUAAUCAUAGAAACAUAGAAUGUGUCGGCAGAUAAGAACCUUUUGGCCCAUCUAGUCUGCCCAAUAAUCUGAAUACUAUGAAUAGUCCCUGGCCCUAUCUUAUAUGAAGGAUAGCAUUAUGCUUAUCCCAUGCAUGUUUACACUCCUUCACUGUAUAUACAGCGACCACUUCUGC